UGUAAGCCAGGUCGGUUUUUAUCCUAAGAAUCAUAAUGAUUAUAUUAGUACGAAAGGACCAUAUAAUUGAAAUAAUUUUUAUUAUCUGAUUUAAAUUAAUUGUUU
rnacentral:rRNA from 1 species